AACAGUCAUAGCAACAAACGUCAAUAUUAAAAUACCCCAAGCCUAAAGUUCUUAACAACUUUGUUUCAUGGAACGAUGCAGGGCACUUAUUUCCUUCAGGCAAUACAUUGCGACAUAACUCCAAUAGCAUCAUAAAAGCUUUGUGGACAAGUUGUUCAACACUUUGAUGUUCAUCAUCUUUACAAUAAAAUUAAGCGCAGAAUUUUGCUUACACUCAGAUAUACAACUCUUAUUCUAACUCUUCCACCUAGUUAUCUACUCUGUGUUGAACACUUUCAGGAAUAGGCAAACCCUCCAAAUCAUCAGUCGUUCCAAUAUUAUAGUAAGUUCUCUCUUGUUCGUCUACAAGAAUGUUUCUCAUUUCAUCAAUUUCGUCAUCGGAAGUGGAGAUGCCGUCCUCUUCAUCCUAGUUUUCUCCAUCUUCCCCAUGAUGUAUCUAUCUUCUACAACCCGACUUAAACCCAAAUCUAAGUAUGUGAAAUCGAAUAUCCUUGACAUUAUGAGACUCCCUAUUCACACACUUCGAACAUACGCAUAUUAUAGUACCAUCCGGAUUGACAUGUUUUUUUCACUUUCCCUAUGAAAAGGAGUCCAUCUUGAAAUGAUCCUAGGAAAAAUAUAAAGAUUGAACUUACUAAACUAACUAAUAUAAACCCGAGAUUAGAGAUCAAGCAUUGAAUUUCAAACUAAUUAACCAUAUUUCCCAAGAAGGAAAUGGAAACCAAGCAAUGAGGUGAUAAACUUGCAUUUGCUGUCCUAUUAAAAUCAUUUGUGAUUUGUGGUGUAGCUUGUAAAUCUAAUUGUGAUCCGAUGAAACAAUAUCACCAGGCAACCUAACCAAGGGCUCAUACUGUUAAAAUAUAACAACAUAUGAGGAAAGCUUAUCAGUUGAAAAAUAAUCAGUGCUAAAGCUUGAAUCAUAUUUUGAUUUAAAGCUGGUCUUGAGAGGAGAUGAGGAUAAAUGCAAAGAUAAAUUUGAAAAGAACACAUGCUAACAAAAAUGGGUCCCUUCCAGUCAUUUAACUCAACAGGCUAACAACACACCCAUAGUUCACAUCAAAAUUCAAGAAGAAAUGAAAAUUUUCAUAAUUCGAAACGUGAUGCAAAACCCAGAAAUCAAUCCGAAAGCUUAUUCAACAAAAUAAAAGAAGAAUUAAAAGAAAUUAAGUGAGAGAGUAAUACAUAUUUGUUAGAUUCAGACCUUUGUCCAAAUAGCCAACAAGAACCCUAACAGAUUGAAGCACCAAAACCGAUGGCUUUGAAACCAAAUUAAUCAAAUGCUAAAAUGUGAAAUGGAGAGAAAUAACUUGAUAAAAGAAAUAAGGCUGAAAUCUGUACACUAAAAUCCUUAAAAAAGAAAGUACCUGAAAGCUUUGAAAAUCAGAUAGAUAGCUUCAGCUGAAUCUGGAAUCCCCGUUUAAGGGGGAAAUAUAACUUGAAUUUAAGUCAAUUAUGCAUAUAUAUAUAUAUAGAUAUAUACACUACAAUUUAAGAAUAAAUAUUGUGGUUUGGGAGUUGGAAUGAUUGAAGUGUUUUGAGAUCAAUUGUACAAGUUAGAGCAUUUUGGAAAGUAAGAAGUAGAGUUACG
rnacentral:lncRNA from 1 species